rnacentral:rRNA from 1 species
UACAGAGGGUGCAAGCGUUGUUCGGAAUUAUUGGGCGUAAAGCGCGUGUAGGCGGCAGUGCAAGUCGGGUGUGAAAGCCCUCGGCUCAACCGAGGAAGUGCGCCCGAAACUGCAUUGCUUGAGUACCGGAGAGGAUGGCGGAAUUCCCGAAGUAGAGGUGAAAUUCGUAGAUAUCGGGGAGGAACACCGGUGGCGAAGGCGGCCAUCUGGACGGAUACUGACGCUGAGACGCGAAAGCGUGGGGGAGCAAACAGG